AUUGAACGCUGGCGGCAGGCCUAACACAUGCAAGUCGAGCGGAGCGGCGGACGGGUGAGUAAUACCUAGGAAUCUGCCUGAUAGUGGGGGAUAACGUUCGGAAACGGACGCUAAUACCGCAUACUAUCAGAUGAGCCUAGGUCGGAUUAGCUAGAUGGUGAGGUAAUGGCUCACCAAGGCUACGAUCCGUAACUGGUCUGAGAUGAGGAUCAGUCACACUGGAACUGAGACACGGUCCAGACGCCUACGGGAGGCAGCAGUGGGGAAUAUUGGACCAUGGGCGAAAGCCUGAUCCAGCCAUGCCGCGUGUGUGAAGAAGGCCUUCGGGUUGUAAAGCACUUUCAGCGGGGAGGCGUUACCCGCAGAAGAAGCACCGGCUAACUCCGUGCCAGCAGCCGCGGUAAUAC
rnacentral:rRNA from 1 species